UGUCUCAAAGAUUAAGCCAUGCAUGUGUCAGUAUAAGCAAUUAUAUAGUGAAACUGCGAAUGGCUCAUUAAAUCAGUUAUUGUUUAUUUGAUAUUUUUUUACUACUUGGAUAACUGUGGUAAUUCUAGAGCUAAUACAUGCAAAAAACCCUGACUUACGAAAGGGUGGUAUUUAUUAGAUAUUAAACCAAUACUCUUCGGAGUUCCUGGUGAAUCAUAAUAACUUUACUCAGCGUAUGGCCCUGUGCUGGCGCGAAAUCAUUCAAAUAUCUGCCCUAUCAAGUUUCGAUGUGAGGGUAGUGUCCUCACAUGCUUUUGACGGGUAACGGGGAAUUAGGGUUCGACUCCGGAGAGGGAGCCUGAGAAACGGCUACCACAUCCAAGGAAGGCAGCAGGCGCGCAAAUUACCCAAUCCCAACAUGGGGAGGUAGUGACAAGAAAUACUGAUACAGGGACCUUUUGGUUCUUGUGAUUGGAAUGAGUACAAUUUAAACCCAUUAACGAGGAACAACUAAAGGGCAAGUCUGGUGCCAGCAGCCGCGGUAAUUCCAGCUUUAGUAGCAUACAUUAAAAUUGUUGCAGUUAAAACGCCCGUAGUUGAAGUUUGGGCUUGGUUGGCCGGUCUGCCUCACCGCAUGAACUGGUUUAACUGGGUCUUUUCUCUUGGGAACUCUUCAGUCUCCGGAUUGAUAGAGCAUACCAGGACUUUUACUUUGAAAAAAUUAGAGUGUUCAAAGCAGGCUUUUGCUCGAAUAUCUUAGCAUGGAAUAAUGAAAUAUGACAUGUAGUUGUAUUUUGUUGGUUUAUAUAAUUACUGUAAUGAUUGAUAGGGAUGGUUGGGGGCAUCGGUAUUUGUUCGUCAGAGGUGAAAUUCUUGGAUUGAACAAAGACCAACUGCUGCGAAAGCAUUUGCCAUGGAUGUUUUCAUUAAUCAAGGACGAAAGUUAAGUGAGCGAAAACGAUCAGAUACCGUUGUAGUCUUAACUGUAAACGAUGCCGACUAGGGAUCGGGCGGAGUCUUUUUUAAUGACUCGUUCGGCACCUUGUGAGAAAUCAGAGUUUUUAGGUUCU
rnacentral:rRNA from 1 species